AAAGCGCGAGUCCACUCUCUCAGACAGACAGAAACAUGUAUUUCGGAUCGCAAAGCGCGAGUCGACUCAAGUCGAGCGCGAGCCGUCUCUCAUCUUUCGGAUGAAGCGCGAGACGACUCUCAACAACUAUGAGACGCCUCUCUCAGACAGACAGAAACAUGUACUUCAGGUCGCAAAGCACGAGUCGACUCGAGUCGAGCGCGAGUCGUCUCCUAUCUGUCGGACGAAGCGCGACUCGCCUCCUAACUACUACGAGAUGUCUCUCUCAGACAAAGGAAGAGCACUCUUUUUCGGCGGACCAGGACGCAAGACGAUUCCUGAACCGCGCGAGCUGACUCCAACAAAAAUCGACCAAUAACCUGGCAGCGGGAUUUCGAGCCAGAGUCGACUCCAGAAUUAUACAAGACAUCUCCCACUUCAGUAGAGCCGACUCCUGGACAGGUGAGACGACUCCAGCUUCAACGGACUUUUUGUCAGAAGUGCCAGGCGCAAUAGAAUAGCUACUCUUCUCAGUCUAACGGCUAGUUUUUCAAAAUGAAGAUAUAAGAAGACCCGUUCUAAGUGACACAGUAACAAGAAUGAAAAAUCAAAACAAAAAGAUCAAGCAAAUUAUUUAAAACUAGAGCUCAAAGGUAAUUCAAAGGGAAAAUCAGAAAAAAGCAACUCUUCAACGAGAACCCACCCUUUCUCUGCACCAGAGCCGAAAUAGAAAGAUUCUCC
rnacentral:lncRNA from 1 species